rnacentral:rRNA from 1 species
CAGUCGCCGCGGGAAUACGUAGGUCCCGAGCGUUGUCCGGAUUUAUUGGGCGUAAAGGGAGCGCAGGCGGUUUAGUAAGUCUGAAGUUAAAGGCAUUGGCUCAACCAAUGUAUGCUUUGGAAACUGUUAGACUUGAGUGCAGAAGGGGAGAGUGGAAUUCCAUGUGUAGCGGUGAAAUGCGUAGAUAUAUGGAGGAACACCAGUGGCGAAGGCGGCUCUCUGGACUGCAACUGACGCUGAGGCUCGAAAGCCAGGGGAGCGAACAGGAUUAGAUACCCGCGUAGUCCCUGUCUCUUAUACA